rnacentral:lncRNA from 1 species
GGAGGGACCUGUGAGCACAGCAUAUCCUGAAUGCGACUUGCAGGUCAGGGGACAGAGGAGGAAAUAAGAUGCCCACGUGGCCCUCUGUGGUAGGCUCUUCAUCGGUGGUCAGCAGUGCUAGGUUUGAAAGGUUACACUGGCUUUUACUUUUCCAGAGCUGCUUCUGAAGCUCUGGUGUCUCCACAUUAUGUAGCUGCCAACACAGGUUGCUUUCUGUCUCUUAAGGAAAUGGGCCCCAGAAAGGACUCUUUCUCCCUGAGUUUUACAGUAAUGGCUCUUAAGAAAGCCACGUGGGCCGGGCGGUGGUGGCACACGCCUUUAAUCCCAGCACUCGGGAGGCAGAGGCAGGCGGAUUUCUGAGUUCGAGGCCAGCCUGGUCUACAAAGUGAGUUCCAGGACAGCCAGGGCUACACAGAGAAACCCUGUCUCAAAAAACCAAAAAAAAAAAAAAAAAAAAAAAAAAAAAAAAAAAAGAAGAAAGCCACGUGGGGCUGAGUAGUAAGAUCAUGUGAAUGCCUUGAGAGCCCCACUCUCCUCAGCAGAAGCGCACGGCUGGAGAACUGGGAGUCUCCCCACACGGUGAAGGGUGGAAACCAAAGUUUCACCAUCUCUCUGCCACUGCACAACACAGUGCAGAGCUUGCACACUGUGCUGCAGUUCAGAUCCAGGUCUCCACAUGGAGGCUUUGGGAACGAGGGGUGAGAGUGGAUGGGCAGUGCCGACUUUGACAGCCUGAAGAGGAUCUCAGUCAGAUGAGAAACAGCUUGAUCCAGGGCCUGAAAGAUUAGCUGUAACUGAAGUGCCCACGUCCCUAAAGACCGUCACUUUCUAGCUUGCUUCUGAGAAGGGGUGGACCAGCUGACUUUCCAUGGAGAGGGUUGGUGACAAUGCCUUUGGUGGUUCCCCUCGUGCUUGUAGAUCUGAAUCCACUCUGCCCCCCUGCAACCUUUCAUUUGCUUUUUGUUUGGUUGGUUUUGCUUUUGCUUCUGUUUUUGUUUGUUUUUGUUUUCUGCCGACUCUUGGCAAGGCAGAGCAGUGCUGUACAGGCAGGCAGCCCCACUGUGCUCUUGCUACUGAUAGCUCUUCCAUCCCAUCAUCUGACUCAGUGUCUCGCCAUCAGCUGGGAUCACACCACUAGUCCCUGUCCUUUAACCCAUGGAAUGUAAAUAUUGUAUCAUACGUAGAAGAAAAUACUUUUUGUUUUCUAAAAAGGCAUUUUGACAUAGUUUAAUGAAAACCCGGCAGGAGCAUUCUAAGCCCCAUUAGG